rnacentral:sRNA from 1 species
UGCACCGCCGACCGACCUUG